rnacentral:rRNA from 1 species
CCUACGGGUGGCAGCAGUGGGGAAUAUUGCACAAUGGGGGAAACCCUGAUGCAGCGACGCCGCGUGAGUGAAGAAGUAUCUCCGUAUGUAAAGCUCUAUCAACAGGGAAGAAAAUGACGGUACCUGACUAAGAAGCCCCGGCUAACUACGUGCCAGCAGCCGCGGUAAUACGGAGGGGGCAAGCGUUAUCCGGAUUUACUGGGUGUAAAGGGAGCGUAGACGGUGAUGCAAGUCUGCAGUGAACGGCCGGGGCUCAACUCCGGGACUGCUUUGGGAACUGUGUGACUGGAGUGCAGGGGAGGCAGGCGGAAUUCCUGGUGUAGCGGUGAAAUGCGUAGAUAUGAGGAAGAACACCGGUGGCGAAGGCGGCUUGCUGGACCGUAACUGACGUUGAUGCUCGAAAGCGCGGGUAGCAAACAGGAUUAGAUACCCGAGUAGUC